ensembl:lncRNA
GUGCAUGUGAGCAUGUAAACAGCACACAGGAAAAGACAGCAGACGCAAACCGUCUCUCUCAUUCCGUGUCUCAUCUCAGCACCAUGUUCCAGCUGCUGAAGAAGCGUCUGGUUUUCUUGAUCUUCUAUCUGUGCUGUGUUCCAGUGUGCUGUGAUGUUAAACAUGUGAGUGGAACAGCAGGACAGAAUCUCACAGUGGCAUUCACGAUGAAGAGCACAAAUUUUACCAACAGGCAGAUGAACAUUUACCGUGACAACACAAAGAUUCACGUGUUCAACAAAUCCAAUGGGACCCUGCUUUUCAUGGGGAAACUACACACUGUCCAAGAUCUGCAUCACCCAUCCGUCCCAAAACCCGAUCAAUCUGAUCUUCACAUAUCUCCUAGACGGUGGAGUGUAUCACCUUGCUGUGUUCAUGCCAGACUUCACUUUUGAAGAAAGCAACAAAGUGAACUUGACUGUACUCCCAUCUAAUUACACAACAACAAACAUCACAGCUGCCUCAUUCAAUAACACAUCCUUCCAGCUGGACCAAUCAGACAAAACGUCCAGGAUGUUGAUGUUUAUUCCGGUGCUGGUUGUAGUCGUGAUGUUGGUGAUUGUUCUGCUCGGCUCGUUUUACUGGAGCUACAGGAGAAAAACAGACAAAACUCCAGCUGUGAACUCCACAUCAACACCACAGGCGAUUCCUGAUGUUACUUGUGUUGAUUACUGUGUUCUGGACCUUCCGAACCGAGCCGGAGAGAAAGUGAGGAGCACAGAGGAGCGAGUGGAGUACUCCCCCAUCGUGUUUCCUCCAAGAAAAACUACCUCACAAGACAAUGAGAUAAAAUCAACAACACAACAAAACAAGAUAAAAAUGACAAAACAGCAGCGCAAGCAGAGAGAAACAGACAAAGUGUCUGAAAAUCCAAAAACAUCAAAACCUAAACAUCACAAAUGUAAAAAUAACUCACAUCUAGUCACAUCCUGUCAAGUCCAAAAUGCCCAAGUGUGAUCCAUUCCAUGGGCAUUUUUAAGAAAUUAUUAUCAUCAGUUUGCAAAUAAUUACACAUUUUAUGCUCAAAAUGUCUCUUCAGGUGCUCUGUAUUUAACACAUCAAUUAUUACAGUUUCUUUUCAUAUCAGCCUGCAAGAGGAAACAAUCACUCCCUUAUUCCUGUAGCGCUGAUAAUGUGUCCUCAUCCACUUCCCCUCGUCCACGUCCAUUCAAAACCUGCCAAAACUUCAUAGAGCGUCUGCGAAAAUGCAUAGAGCGUAAGGGUGAACAUGCUGUAAAUAAUAAUAACUUUUCGCACACCCUGUAUUCUACAACCUGUACAUAUCGGGGUGAUGAGAUACACCAAUAAUCUGAAAUCUUUAUAUCAUUCGUUUUAUUCUGUUCCCGUGUAUUUCCCCUGUACUGUCCACCAACAGUCUGAUAAGAGCUGUUAUUUUACUUCAUAUAGGGUGCGUCUCAAUCAGCGUCCUAGUUCAGUAGUCAGGGCACUGAUCAGGGAGUCAGCCAUUUUAAGGGCUGUCUCAGUUGCAGAAUCCUUCCAGUGCACUGUCAUAUUUACUCCCUUAAAAAAUCCCACAAUGCACCACAAAAACCAAGGAGCAUCAAUGCUUACUGUGUUCCCUUACUGGAUAUUACAUCAUGCUUUCUGAAGCCCCUGAGCUCAAAAAAAAUAAAAUGCGGGCCGAACCCUCAGCCAACUUCAUCUACAAAUGUAAGUAGCUUGUUAUCGUUGUUGUAGCUCUCAAAUGAUUACUUACAUUAGCAAUUUAUAACUUUAUUUGACGUUCUAUAUAUGGUCUGUUUGAGUCUAAUGGCUUCUGUUUAAUGAUGUAAAUCCACUAAAAUAAAUAAAUCCACUAGCUAAUGUACGAUCCUGUUUGGAGUACCGUGACAGAAAUGUGUGUGAUUAAGCUAAUAAACUUAUAUGACAAAUAAAUCUUUGGGUGAUGUUUUAGAAAGUGAGUACAUAAUUGUGUUGCUGGAAAUUGAGUUGUCAGAGUCCCAAUGUGUAGUGAACCAGCCUCCAUUACCAGUGCCCGUACUCAUAAACGUGAUAUACUGACCUAGGGAGCUAGUUAGCAGAUCAAGACAUAGGGAUAACGAAUACAUUUAUUUACAUUUAUUCAUUUAGCAGACACUUUUAUCCAAAGCGACUUACAAAUGAGAAAAUACAAGCAAAAUGAACGAGUAUGUAGACUCAAGACUCAAGACUUCAGGAACAAAACUUACCCAGAAUGCUUUGCUGAACUUGAUUGAUUGGGAUGUUACCCACUUUUGAAUGGUUAAGGGAAGUGGACAAGGGCAUGUUACAAAUUGACUGAAACACAAGGAGGAGUUUGGUGUGAAAAUACAAAGAGAAAGUUUGCGUGUUAUUGGGAGAAACAGUCGCUGUUGAACUACACCACAAAAUACAAGAAUACAUCAGAAGAGACAAGUGUGUGUGUGUGUGUGUGUGUGUGUGUGUGUGUGUGUGUGUGUGUGUGUGUGUGUGUUGCAGUGCAAUUUGCCAGUGGUACUUGAGUGACAACCACAUACACCAUAGUGUGAAAUCCCCCUCAUCAUAAGUGUUCUUCUGUACCUGUGCAUAUAAUGACCUAAAAUGAUGAUAUAUGAAAGAUAUUAAUAUGUAAAAUAUGCAAAUAUGUAUAUAGUUAGCAUAUACAUUUGAGACACUAGUAUAAUGACAUCACAGUAAAUAAAGUGUUAUAUAUCUGGGCUAGAGUGUGAUGAUCUGCCAGUGUGGAAAUUACUGUAAAUCUGUAAUAACGAAAUCUAUCUCAGAAUAAACCUCAAAAUAAAUCAAACGUGUCUCAACACUCUGACUUUGUGUUACAUGCUAAAGCUGGCUGUAUAUUCUCAUCAAGUGUGUGUGAAGGUUUAUUGUACAUUUAGCUCAUGAAGAGGACACACUCCUAUUUUAUCUUCAUAUGAUUAUGUCGAGAAACUUUAUCAUUAUUAUGACCCAAUAAACAUUUUUUUUCCCUUUGUAUGCUGAUAAAAGGUUUUUAUAGCAUUUUAUAGCAAAACAAUUUCAUAUGUUUUAAUAUGUGAUAAUGAGAUUUACUGUAUAUUGUUACUGUACAAU